UCCAGCCCUUUCCACGAACCCCUCCCUUCGGGGACGGCAGAAGGGUUCUGGGUAAGAGACCCAGUUGCGCAACAACAAAGCAGCGCAGUUUCCAAACAUCGGGCUUCGUAAGACAGUUGGGCGCCAAGGAGCGCCGCGGAAAACCCGCGUCCGGGCGGCCUUGCUCCUCUAGCUGUCCCGCAAGGAGGAGAGACCCAAGAACCGCAGCCUCCUCGCACGCUCGCCCACCCAGGAGGCCCACGCUGAGGAAGGGUCGCCUACAACCAAUUCCGUAUGCAGUAGGGCGCGGUUAGUUCGGGGCGCCCGGCCGGCGGGGUCGUACCAUUCCCGGUCCGGGGGGACCUGGGAGGGGCCGCGCGGAGGUCUUCUUCCAGGAACUUCCUCUAUCGAGACGCUGCCUAGCUCAAUGAGGUGACGUGAAGUAUGUUGGCGACGGGCUCUCUCGGGGCGGGUUGCAGGUCCGUUGUCUCCUGCCUGAGCGCCUCUCCGUCCUCCGCUCCAACUCCCCCCUCCCGCGUUGGUUCACGCCACGAUCGCGGACUCGCAGGCCUUUCUGCGCAGGUGCGCGGCGGAGGGCGCAGAUCUCGCAGGUCCACGCGGCGGGUCGGACGGUGCAGGUGUCCACUGUGUGGCUGGUGCUGCGAUCCGGAGCCAUGGGUCUCCAGGUCCAAGUCGUUUAUUGUGGAGCUUGAGGCUACAAGUCCAAGUAUCUUCAGCUCAAGAAGAAGUUAGAAGAUGAGUUCCCUGGGUGCCUGGACAUUGUGAGUUUCUGGGAUGAGGAGAAAGACUCAUAAACAGGGGCACUUGUCUGUUUCUUAGACCUGGAUAGCAAGGGGGGUGGGUUA